AUUGAACGCUGGCGGCAUGCCUUACACAUGCAAGUCGAACGGUAACAGGUCUUCGGAUGCUGACGAGUGGCGAACGGGUGAGUAAUACAUCGGAACGUGCCUAGUAGUGGGGGAUAACUACUCGAAAGAGUGGCUAAUACCGCAUGAGAUCUACGGAUGAAAGCAGGGGAUCGCAAGACCUUGUGCUACUAGAGCGGCCGAUGGCAGAUUAGGUAGUUGGUGGGAUAAAAGCUUACCAAGCCGACGAUCUGUAGCUGGUCUGAGAGGAUGAUCAGCCACACUGGGACUGAGACACGGCCCAGACUCCUACGGGAGGCAGCAGUGGGGAAUUUUGGACAAUGGGCGAAAGCCUGAUCCAGCAAUGCCGCGUGCAGGAUGAAGGCCUUCGGGUUGUAAACUGCUUUUGUACGGAACGAAAAGCCCCCGGGUUAAUACCCUGGGGUCAUGACGGUACCGUAAGAAUAAGCACCGGCUAACUACGUGCCAGCCGCCGCAGUAA
rnacentral:rRNA from 1 species